rnacentral:misc_RNA from 1 species
UAUCAGAGAGAUUUCACCACGAUAACAGGAAACAAGAAAUGGUACUGAUCUGUCUGGAUUUUAAUCCAGAACCAAAAAACUAAGUAGAACUGAUCUUCGUGUUGUCCUUUCUCAUUCCAACUGUCUCUCCAUCAAUUCUAUCUAGCGACAUCCCAUUGGAAUUCAAGAAACUAGGCUGAUUUGUAGAUGCAAGCAGUCUAGCCCACAUCCUAUCUGUCAACUUCACUGUGUUUUGUGCCUCAGUCACACGCUGCAAUACAGUACCAUGCCAUUAAUUUAGAUGUCCAAUCAGAAGGUAAAUUAAAAAACCUCCCCAACAUUUGGCAAAAUAUUCACUUGAAUACUAAUUUUUUCAAAUUGAAUCAUGUAAUCCUUGUUUCCACAGGCCUCAAAAUAUAUCGUGCCAUUGAAAAUAAUGUUAUGUAUUUUGGUAGUUUUAACUGCUUAAAAUUGGAAUCCUAGGAGCUUUCAGCCAUUGUGGGAGCAUUGCUUAUCUGAAGCCCCAUUUUCAGCAUUUUGUGAUGAAAUAUGAAUCAUAUCAUCAAUAAGGUAUUGUACGAGUUGAGUAGUUAAGAAAAGAAUAGCCAUGUUAUAGACAGUGACCAUGAUGCAAAGUGGUUAGCACUGCUGAAAACUGGGAGUCCAGUAACGGUUUAUUCUAGUUGCCAUUAUCUAUAUGAAGAGAUUCCAUGUGAAAAAGCUUAUCAGAGUCCCUAUUCUGGUGCAAGGGAAACUUCAUAGUAUUUUCAUACUCUUUUUGAUACUGAAAAUAACAGAUUUUGGUCCUCAUCAAGUUUUGAUUGAUCGGUGCACAAUCAUAAAAUGUAGAACAACCCAACUUUUCAUCCUUUAAAACAAGGUUAAAUUGGCGAGUAAAAUUAUGUUCAUAUGAAGUCAAUAUAGGAUUGACAGAAACUGAGAAAUGAGA